CCCCUAAGCCACUGUAGCACCCGGACAACGGACAUCGCGCAGGAAUACGUUUGUACAAGUGUUAAUGUUUUGCUAACGAGCUUUGAAAGUGAAGUGUGGAGGAUCGUGUGAACACUUCGUAGCCCAUCACCAACAAACUGACGUUAGCGGAGCAGCGAACGUAGGAACAGACGAGCAGUUCAUCAACACACACUGCAGCACUUGGGUCAAACUGGUGAGCGUUUGUGUGAUGAUAAGCACUGCAAAAUGACACCACAGAAAAUAAGGAGGGGGUCUAAACAGAAGCUGAAGAGGGAGAAGGAGGAGGAGGAGGAGGUGGAGAUCCACAGAGAGAGAGGAGGGGAGGAACUGACAGACAGAGGAGCGCAGCUCUCUGAGGAACAGAGAAGAGGAACCGGAAUAAAGCUUCACUCCUGUCAGCACUGUGACAAGGCCUUCUCAACAUCACAGUCUUUAAAGUACCAUCAGCGUAUUCACACUGGAGAGAAGCCAUACAGCUGUGACCAGUGUAGCUCAGGUUUUAGAACGUUGGGGAGUCUAAAAGUCCAUCAGCGUAUUCACACUGGAGAGAAGCCAUACAGCUGUGACGAGUGUGGCUCAGGUUU